rnacentral:rRNA from 1 species
UACGUAGGGUGCAAGCGUUGUCCGGAAUUAUUGGGCGUAAAGAGCUCGUAGGCGGUUUGUUGCGUCGGCUGUGAAAUCCCGAGGCUCAACCUCGGGUCUGCAGUCGAUACGAGCAAACUAGAGUGUUGCAGGGGAGACUGGAAUUCCUGGUGUAGCGGUGAAAUGCGCAGAUAUCAGGAGGAACACCGGUGGCGAAGGCGGGUCUCUGGGCCGAUACUGACGCUGAGGAGCGAAAGCGUGGGGAGCAAACAGG